AUCAACGCUGGCAAGCGUGCCUAACACAUGCAAGUCGAACGAGAAAGCAGGAGCAAUCCUGUGAGUACAGUGGCGACCGGGUGAGUAACACGUGACUAACCUGCCCUUGAGCGUGGGAAUAACCCCGGGAAACCGGAGAGCUAAUACCGCAUAACACCGUAAGGUCAAAGGAGCAAUCCACUCAUGGAGGGGGGGGUCGCGGCUGAUUAGCUAGUUGGUAGGGUAAUGGCCUACCAAGGCUUUGAUCAGUAUCCGGCCUGAGAGGCGCACGGACACACUGGAACGGAAACACGGUCCAGACUCCUACGGGAGGCAGCAGUGGGAUUUGGCACAAUGGGGGAAAACCCUGAGGCAGCAACCGCCGCGUGAAGGAUGAAGUCCCUUGGGAUGUAAACUUCUUUCGAUCGGGACGAUUCUGACGGUACCGGAGAGGAAGCACCGGCUAAUCCUGUGCCAGCAGCCGCGGUAAUACAGAGGGUGCGAGCGUUGUUCGGAAUUAUUGGGCGUAAAGGGCGCGUAGGCGGUGCGGUAAGUAUGCGGUGAAAUCUGGGCUCAACCCAGGCUGCCGCGUAAACUGCUGUGCUGGAGUGUGGGAGAGGUGCGUGGAAUUCCCGGUGUAGCGUGAAGUGCGUUAGAUAUCGGGAGGAACACCUGUGGCGAAAAAGCGGCGCACUGGACCACAACUGACGCUGAGGCGCGAAGCUAGGGAGCAAACAGGAUUAGAUACCCUGGUAGUCCUAGCCCUAAACGAUGAAUGAUUGGUGUGAUGGGUACCAAUCCACCGUGCCGCAGCUAACGCAUUAAGCAUUCCGCCUGGGGAGUAUGGUCGCAAGGCUGAAACCUCAAAGGAAUUGACGGGGGCCCGCACAAGCGGUUGGAGCAUGGUGGUUCAAUUCGACGCAACGCGAAGAAGAACCUUACCCAGGCUCUGAACAGCGAGUGACAUCCUCCGAAAAGGGGCAUUCCCGCAAGGGCACUCGUAGAGGUGCUGCAUGGCUGCCGUCAGCUCGUGUCGUGAGAUGUUGGGUUAAGUCCCCGCCAACGAGCGCAACCCUUGUCCUGUGUUACCAUGCCGAAAGGCGGCACUCGCAGGAUAGACCGCCAGCGAUAAGCUGGAGGAAGGUGGGGAUGACGUCAAGUCCUCAUGGCCUUUAUGUCCAGGGCUACACACGUGCUACAAUGGGCGGUACAAAGCGCUGCGAAGCCGCAAAGGUGGAGCCAAUCGCAGAAAGCCGCUCUCAGUUCGGAUUGCAGGCUGCAACUCGCCUGCAUGAAGCUGGAAUCGCUAGUAAUGCUAUAUCAGAACGAUAGCGUGAAUACGUUCCCGGGCCCUGUACACACCGCCCGUCACAUCACGAAAGUGGAUUGUACUAGAAGUCUGCGCGCUAACCCGCAAGGGAGGCAGGCGGCCCCAAGGUUAUGAUUCAUGAUUGGGGUG
rnacentral:rRNA from 1 species